GCAGUACCUAAACACCAUGGAGGCAUCAGAUCCCAUCCGACCUUUGAAAUUAAGCAGGAUCAAGCUGGUUAGUACUUACAUGGGUGACAGCUAAGGAAUACCAUGAGUUGUAUGCU
rnacentral:rRNA from 1 species